rnacentral:rRNA from 1 species
AAAUUGAAGAGUUUGAUCAUGGCUCAGAUUGAACGCUGGCGGCAGGCCUAACACAUGCAAGUCGAACGGUAACAGAAAGCAGCUUGCUGCUUUGCUGACGAGUGGCGGACGGGUGAGUAAUGUCUGGGAAACUGCCUGAUGGAGGGGGAUAACUACUGGAAACGGUAGCUAAUACCGCAUAAUGUCGCAAGACCAAAGAGGGGGACCUUCGGGCCUCUUGCCAUCGGAUGUGCCCAGAUGGGAUUAGCUUGUUGGUGGGGUAACGGCUCACCAAGGCGACGAUCCCUAGCUGGUCUGAGAGGAUGACCAGCCACACUGGAACUGAGACACGGUCCAGACUCCUACGGGAGGCAGCAGUGGGGAAUAUUGCACAAUGGGCGCAAGCCUGAUGCAGCCAUGCCGCGUGUAUGAAGAAGGCCUUCGGGUUGUAAAGUACUUUCAGCGGGGAGGAAGGGAGUAAAGUUAAUACCUUUGCUCAUUGACGUUACCCGCAGAAGAAGCACCGGCUAACUCCGUGCCAGCAGCCGCGGUAAUACGGAGGGUGCAAGCGUUAAUCGGAAUUACUGGGCGUAAAGCGCACGCAGGCGGUUUGUUAAGUCAGAUGUGAAAUCCCCGGGCUCAACCUGGGAACUGCAUCUGAUACUGGCAAGCUUGAGUCUCGUAGAGGGGGGUAGAAUUCCAGGUGUAGCGGUGAAAUGCGUAGAGAUCUGGAGGAAUACCGGUGGCGAAGGCGGCCCCCUGGACGAAGACUGACGCUCAGGUGCGAAAGCGUGGGGAGCAAACAGGAUUAGAUACCCUGGUAGUCCACGCCGUAAACGAUGUCGACUUGGAGGUUGUGCCCUUGAGGCGUGGCUUCCGGAGCUAACGCGUUAAGUCGACCGCCUGGGGAGUACGGCCGCAAGGUUAAAACUCAAAUGAAUUGACGGGGGCCCGCACAAGCGGUGGAGCAUGUGGUUUAAUUCGAUGCAACGCGAAGAACCUUACCUGGUCUUGACAUCCACAGAACUUUCCAGAGAUGGAUUGGUGCCUUCGGGAACUGUGAGACAGGUGCUGCAUGGCUGUCGUCAGCUCGUGUUGUGAAAUGUUGGGUUAAGUCCCGCAACGAGCGCAACCCUUAUCCUUUGUUGCCAGCGGUCCGGCCGGGAACUCAAAGGAGACUGCCAGUGAUAAACUGGAGGAAGGUGGGGAUGACGUCAAGUCAUCAUGGCCCUUACGACCAGGGCUACACACGUGCUACAAUGGCGCAUACAAAGAGAAGCGACCUCGCGAGAGCAAGCGGACCUCAUAAAGUGCGUCGUAGUCCGGAUUGGAGUCUGCAACUCGACUCCAUGAAGUCGGAAUCGCUAGUAAUCGUGGAUCAGAAUGCCACGGUGAAUACGUUCCCGGGCCUUGUACACACCGCCCGUCACACCAUGGGAGUGGGUUGCAAAAGAAGUAGGUAGCUUAACCUUCGGGAGGGCGCUUACCACUUUGUGAUUCAUGACUGGGGUGAAGUCGUAACAAGGUAACCGUAGGGGAACCUGCGGUUGGAUCACCUCCUUACCUUAAAGAAGC